GUCAGAAUGGCCGAGCGGUCUAAGGCGCCAGACUCAAGGUUCAGUCCCUUCCUAGUUGCUGAGGUUUCUGGUCUCCGAAUGGAGGCGUGGGUUCAAAUCCCACUUCUGACA
rnacentral:tRNA from 1 species